ensembl:lncRNA
UUUAGGCAAACAUCACGUUUAGGAUCGAGAAGCUGCAUUCACUUCUGACAUUUCUCUAUGUUUCUCUGUGAGAACUCACAGGACACCUGAUUCUGUAUGAGAAAUCUGCAUCUAAGCCUGUGUUACAGUAUCUGUCCAACAUGAGAAAACACAGAGCGCUGAUGUGUGUGGCCUGCAGAUUCGAGUCCUCACGUCGGGGCGGGGAUCCAGGACAUCUGCUGAAGCUGACUAGUUCUGGGAGGUCAAAGUG